UACGAAGGGGGCGAGCGUUGUUCGGAUUUACUGGGCGUAAAGGGCGCGCAGGCGGCUAUCCAAGUCAGGCGUGAAAGCCCCGGGCUUAACCUGGGAGGUGCGUCUGGGACUGGGUGGCUAGAGUUCGGGAGAGGAGCGCGGAAUUCCCGGUGUAGCGGUGAAAUGCGUAGAGAUCGGGAGGAAGGCCGGUGGCGAAGGCGGCGCUCUGGAACAUUUCUGACGCUGAGGCUCGAAAGCGUGGGGAGCAAACAGG
rnacentral:rRNA from 1 species